GAAAUGCGAUAAGUAAUGUGAAUUGCAGAAUUCAGUGAAUCAUCGAAUCUUUGAACGCACAUUGCGCCCGCCAGCACUCUGGCGGGCAUGCCUGUUCGAGCGUCAUUUCAACCCUCAGAACCCCUUGCGGGAUCUGGCGUUGGGGAUUGGCAUCCAGCCAGCCCCGAAAUCUAGUGGCGGUCCCUCCGCGACCUCCCCUGUGCAGUAGCGAUACCUCGCAGCGGGACAGCGGUCUGACCACGCCGUAAACCCCCAACUUCUCAAGGUUGACCUCGAAUCAGGUAGGAAUACGCGCUGAACAUAAGC
rnacentral:misc_RNA from 1 species